AGAAUCAACGCUGGCGGCGUGCCUAACACAUGCAAGUCGAACGAGAAAGGGGAGCAAUCCCUGAGUACAGUGGCGACCGGGUGAGUAACACGUGACUACCUACCCUUGAGUGGGGGAUAACCUCGGGAAACCGAGGCUAAUACCGCAUAAUAUCGCAAGAUCAAAGGAGUAAUCCGCUUUUGGAGGGGUCGCGGCUGAUUAGCUAGUUGGUAGGGUAAUGGCCUACCAAGGCGAAGAUCGGUA
rnacentral:rRNA from 1 species